AGAACGAACGCUGGCGGCAUGCCUAACACAUGCAAGUCGAACGCUCCCUUCGGAGGGAGUGGCGCACGGGUGAGUAACGCGUGGGAACCUGCCUUGGAGUGGGGGAUAACCGAUGGAAACGUCGGCUAAUACCGCAUACGUCCUGAGGGAGAAAGAUUUAUCGCUCUGAGAGGGGCCCGCGUCGGAUUAGCUAGUUGGUGGGGUAACGGCCUACCAAGGCGAUGAUCCGUAGCUGGUCUGAGAGGAUGAUCAGCCACACUGGGACUGAGACACGGCCCAGACUCCUACGGGAGGCAGCAGUGGGGAAUAUUGGACAAUGGGCGCAAGCCUGAUCCAGCAAUGCCGCGUGAGUGAUGACGGCCUUAGGGUUGUAAAGCUCUUUCGGCGGGGACGAUGAUGACGGUACCCGCAGAAGAAGCCCCGGCUAACUUCGCGCCAGCAGCCGC
rnacentral:rRNA from 1 species